GCCUGGCGAUGGCGCGUGCCUGUAGUCCCAGCUACUCGGGAGGCUGAAGUGGGAGGAUCGCUUGAGCCCGGGAGCUCUGGGCUGUAGUGCGCUAUGCCGAUGUAGUGUCCACACUAAGUUCAGCAUCAAUAUGGUGACCUGCCGGGAGCGGGGGACCACCAGGUUGCCUAAGGAGGGGUGAACCAGCCCAGGUCCAAAACGGAGCAGGUCAAAACUCCUGUGCUGAUCAGUAGUGGGACAGAGCCUCUGAAUAGCUGCUGCACUCCAGCCUGGGCAACAUAGCGAGACCCUGUAUCU
rnacentral:SRP_RNA from 1 species